rnacentral:rRNA from 1 species
CGUAGAGGGGUGUGGAAUUCCUGGUGUAACGGUGAAAUGCGUCAAUAUCAGCAGGAACACCAGUGGCGAAGGCGACCACCUGGGACGGUACUGACGCUGAGGAACGAAAGCAUGGGUAUCAAACGGGAUUAGAUACCCCGGUAGUCCAUGCUGUAAACGAUGGGCACUAGAUGUCGGAGGAGCUUGACCCCUUCGGUGUCGCAGCUAACGCAUUAAGUGCCCCACCUGGGGAGUACGAUCGCAAGGUUGAAACUCAAAGGAAUUGACGGGGGCCCGCACAAGCGGUGGAGCAUGUGGUUUAAUUCGAUGCAACGCGAAGAACCUUACCUGGGCUUGACAUGCAGGAGACAGCCGUGAAACACGGGUUUCCUUCGGGGUUCCUAGCGACAGGUGCUGCAUGGCUGUCGUCAGCUCGUGUCGUGAAAUGUUGGGUUAAGUCCCGCAACGAGCGCAACCCUUGUCCUUAGUUGCCAUCAGGUUAUGCUGGGAACUCUAAGGAGACUGCCGGUGACAAACCGGAGGAAGGUGGGGACGACGUCAAGUCAUCAUGGCCCUUACGUCCAGGGCUACACACGUGCUACAAUGGCCUAUACAAUGAGCUGCAAUACCGCGAGGUGGAGCGAAUCUCAAAAAGUCGGUCUCAGUUCGGAUUGGAGUCUGCAACUCGACUCCAUAAAGCUGGAAUCGCUAGUAAUCGCGCAUCAGCUUG